rnacentral:tRNA from 1 species
GUCCCGAUAGUAUAUAAUAUUACUUUGGUCUUGUAAACCAAAAAUGAAGAUAAUUUCUUCUCAGGACA